rnacentral:rRNA from 1 species
UACGGAGGGUGCAAGCAUUAAUCGGAAUGAUUGGGCGUAAAGGGCGCGUAGGCGGGAUAUAAAGUUAGAUGUGAAAAUUCUGAAGCUCAACUUCAGAGCUGCAUUUAAAAACUCAUAAUCUAGAGGGAUGGCGGAGGAAACGGAAUUCCACGUGUAGCGGUGAAAUGCGUAGAUAUGUGGAAGAACACCUGUGGCGAAAAGCGGUUUUUCUAGCUAUUACCUGACGCUGAGGCGCGAGAGCAAGGGGGAGCAAACAGG